CUGCUAUUCGUUGUCCAGAUGAGCUUUUUAAAUGAAGCUGCUAUAGAUCCUUCUCCACAACACUAGAGGGAAAUGGAUCAAGAAAUUUAGGAUGAUUAUUUCAAGGGACAAAAUCAUAAUGAGUUUAGGAGGAAAGGAAGACAAUUUGGGAAAGUGGACAUACAACCUUAACUUGUAGAAGGGGCAGAAGAGUUAAGCUUCCUGCAUUGUGAAACUUUUGGAACUCUGGGUUCUGUUAGCAUUUGCAGACUAAACAUGGGGUGAAGACUGGGAAAUGAGAUGGUAUUGUUGCAAGACAUGAGGUGAGCAGAAUUGUCAGAGAUUGGUCAUUGCCAUACUCA
rnacentral:lncRNA from 1 species